UAACAUGUAUAUAUAUAAUAUAAGUAAAGUUUCUUAUAAAAAUAAAAGCAAUUUAGAUUGGCAUUUAUCUGAUGGUCAAUGUCUUCAAUUGCCGCUUUUAUACUCUAAAACAGUGGUGAUCAACCUUUUUCUACCUUGGGCCAUAAAAAAAAUCUAGGCUGCAAAAAGCUUAAACUUUUACGUUUUGUUGAAUAUUAUAUUUUAUUGUUGGCACGUCUUAGUAUAGGUACAUCAAUAAAUGUUCAGCCUAUUAUUCAGAUGAUGAGUAAUGUGAAUAAUUCAUUCACAUUAAAUUGUACAAACAUUACAUUUUUAGUAACUUUUUCAAUUUUGAUUUAAUUUUAACACUGGUGGACCGUUUAAUAAAUUAUUGUACUUGGUUACCACUACUCUAUACCGAAUGAGAUUGGAAAAAGUAGCUUUGGAAUGGCAGGACUGCUGUGAUUGACAGCAGGAGUUGGAAACCGAAAAGAUUACAUGCGCCAACAGUAACUCGUUUCUAUUUGAAUUUUUUUUAUCGUUACUUAUUUGGGAUAAAGUCUAGUUCAUAAUAUAAAGAAGAAAUAAAAAAUGAUAUUUAUUUAUUUUAAAUUUUUAACAUACAUAAGUUUUUAAGUUUGUGUUUAUUCCCAUCAACCAAAAAUAUUGUACUUAUUAAAAUGUAUUCAAUUAAGGUCUUAACAAAAUGUGACAUGCUAUUAGAUAUAUUCCAUCACCCAAAAACCAUUUCUAUGAGUUCCCAAAUUUCCUCACAGAGAAAAAAAUAUCUAGUAGCAUGUUAUUUCCUCACUCCUCACGAUUUGCCACUUGUGCAAUGUAUAUGCUAUAUUAUAUUCAUAACACAACUGGGGUAGACGAAUUACAAUAAUUUAAUGAUAGGUACACCUUAAUUUUAAACAGAAACUACUAACUUAUUGGUAAAAAAAAUUUAAGAAAAAUCACAGUAAAAACAUACAUAUUAUUAUUAUAUCAGUGAAACCCCCAAAUACCGGACACUCGGUCACUUAAAUGGUGUCUGUUAGGGGAGGUUUCACUGUAUUUUUAAUUUUUAUUUUACCUAGUAAAAUUUUAAAAAAAUACUUAAAUUAAUUAUUAAAGUAUUUGAUUUUCAAAUACCGAUAUCACUAGAAAAUACUUUCUUGAAGUGCUUUUAAUCAAGUAUUUUACAAAGGCACAAAGCUGAAUAUUAACCAUACAAAUUAAAAUAAAUAUUUAAAAGGUAUAAAAACAAUCGAUUUAUGACAUAGAGUAAUACUCUAUGCGCGAACCUUUCAUCUCCGUAAAAAAACCAGUUCACGCACCACGGAUAUUUUGUCCUUAGGAGUUAUUAGCCAUAGAACGUUUAGUCUCCAGCAUAAUAUAUUGAUGAUAAUACAUUCUGUUCUCAUAUUAUCAUUAUUAUUAAUUUCUCAAAAGUUCAUUCUUUCCCUAAAAAUAUGUGUGCGUUUAUUUUUAAUGAACAAUUAAAAAUAAUAAAAAAAAAAAUGCUUGAAAAAUGAAUUAUUUCCAAUAUACCUUGGUAUAUACGCUAAAGGUACUGGUUCUUCCCUCGAUCAAGACACCCAAGCCACUGGAGUACUGGACCUAAUUUAAUUUAAGAAACAUCCACUAUGCUUAUUGUACUUUUUUGAUGUAUAGAUAGUAUAAAUUCUAGAUAAAAAAAAUUGUUCAUUAAAAAUUAAUGUAUUUAUUGUUAGUGAAAUAAAGAACUUUUGAA